rnacentral:rRNA from 1 species
GACCUUGAGGUGAAAUGGGGGGCCCCCAAGCCCUAACGCAGCAGGAGCGGCCGAUGUCUGAUUAGCUAGUUGGUGGGGUAAAGGCCCACCAAGGCGACGAUCAGUAGCUGGUCUGAGAGGACGAUCAGCCACACUGGGACUGAGACACGGCCCAGACUCCUACGGGAGGCAGCAGUGGGGAAUUUUGGACAAUGGGGGCAACCCUGAUCCAGCAAUGCCGCGUGUGCGAAGAAGGCCUUCGGGUUGUAAAGCACUUUUGUCCGGAAAGAAAUCGCGCUGGUUAAUACCUGGCGUGGAUGACGGUACCGGAAGAAUAAGCACAGGCUAACU